rnacentral:rRNA from 1 species
AUUUAAGGUCUAAUCUGCUCAAUGAGGAGUUAAAUUGCCGCGGUAUCAUGACCGUGCGAAGGUAGCAUAAUAAUUAGCUUUUUUAUUGAAAGCUGGAAUGAAUGAUUGGACGAGAAAACAUCUGUCUCUAUUUAAUUUUUUGUUGAAUUUAACUUUUGAGUAAAAAGGCUUAAAUGUUUUAGAAAGACGAGAAGACCCUAUAGAGUUUAAUAAUUUUAUUAUUAAAAGGUUUUUGGUAUUAAUUUCUUUUAUUUUUUUAAUUAUUUAGUUGGGGUGACUAGAAGAAAAAAUUAACUCUUCUAUGGUUUUAUUACUGAUUUGUAAAUAAUUAUUCUGGUUUUACCAAGUUUAAAAUAAAUUACCUUAGGGAUAACAGCGUAAUUUCCUUUGAGAGUUCUUAUUUAAAGGGGAGUUUGCGACCUCGAUGUUGGAUUAAAAUUAAUAUUGGGUGCAGUAGCUCAAUUAUUAGGUCUGUUCGACCUUUAAAAUUUUACAUGAUCUGAGU